UAGAACUCCUUCUCUAUCGUCACCCUCAAAACCCUAGCGUCACAUAUGCAUCUUCUUCAACAAAUCCACAAAUCUUCUUCAGCAAAUCGACAAUGGUGAUUCCCAAGUUACCUUUUAACCAUCGAUCUGUAGAUUCGAGGUCGCAAUCGAAACCCUAAUGUUUUUUAUUUUCAAAUCAGUUAUCUUUUUCGAUUUACGAAACAAAGGUAUGCAAUCAAGCUUUUGAUCUUCCACCUCUUGAUUUCUUCAUGGUAAAGUCGGUUUUUUUUUUUUUUUCUAAUUGCUUGCGUAAUCCAUUGAUUUUGUAAGAUUUCUAUUCAAUGUUUCAUUAUUUCAAAUCUGGGUUCUCACCAAAAACCCACCACUAAUCAUCUUUUAUUUUCUGAUUAAACUCUAUGGUGCGAUGUCGUCGUUGCGGGAGUGGCUUUGGGCAAGAUCAUUUUCUCCAAAGCAAUGAUCUGCUGGAACAUGAAUUGGUUUUAUUUGGUGUUUUCAUUUGAUGUCUAGGGUUUGGUGGGGUCGUUUCAAGAUGGGGGCAAGUGGGCAACAAAAGAAGAAGUUAAGAAAAGUGUCGCUGAGAUUUCUUCAAAGUAAGUGGUGAUUGCGGGUUGUAACGGGUCAGGUAUAGCUUUCUUAGUAGAACUAACCCAAAAGUAAAGUACUGAUUUUAGAAUGCUGAUGCUCAGGAGAGGUUCAAAAACAUCCCUUUGCAGGUGCGAUGUUGAUUAAUAUAGUUAGUGUUCUGGCGGGUAAAAGAGCUUCGUUUACCUCAUUGAGCGGUGGAUACCGUUCUUGCCUACGCCGAUGGGGAAGGGUUUGUUGCCUGAUACGCAUGAGCUAGCGGCGACGUCUGCGCGCUCGCUCACGAUCGUGAAGUGUGAUUUUGCUAUUGUGGUUGGUGCGCGGUUGAAUUGGUUGUUGCAUUUUGGAGAGUCGCCGAAGUGGUCGAAGGAUGUUAAGUUUAUUUUAAUUGAUGUUGAUGAGGGUAAGAUUGAGCUUCGGAAGCCGUAUUUGGUGUUGAAUAAGGAGAUUAAGGAUGACCCGUUUUGUUUGGGGUGUACGCAUCCGUGGAUGAUUCCACACCCACUUCGUUUGUCCCCAGUGCAACGUAUCUUCUUCUAAUUGAAGGUUUUGGUGGAAAAGGUUAUCUUUUUCUGCAAGAAAGCCUGCUGUUAUCAAUGUCACGGUUGAUCCGUAUGCUGGUGCAGAAUGUGGCCGGAUGCAACACAAAAAUUGAGAAAUAUAUAAGACACAAGGAUGGUGGGAGCUAAUUUGGAUGAAAAACUUCAAAGAUGGUACCAGGCAGAUUUGAAAGCUAAAGGAAGUUGAAGUGCUAAACUGGAUCUACACAUUAUAUAAAAGAUAAUAAAAGGGUUUCAAAAGAAAAGGCUCAGAUGAUUUCUCUUCAGAACGAAGAAGCGCAUGGGACUCGAGGGUUGCACCUCAUGACAGUCAAAGUAACAAGUCAAUCGAGAAGGAAGCGAGUUAUAAGCUUAGUAUGUUAAUGCAUUUAAACUUUUUUUAUAUCUUUUUUAAGUAUACUAUUACUUUUGUAGUCUUUUUUGUUCAUUUAUCAUUUGUUAAGCAAACUUUUACCUUUCUUUUA